GAUGAACGCUGGCGGCGUGCUUAACACAUGCAAGUCGAGCGAGUGAGUUCUUCGGAACGAUCUAGCGGCGGACGGGUGAGUAACACGUGGGCAACCUGCCUCAUAGAGGGGAAUAGCCUCCCGAAAGGGAGAUUAAUACCGCAUAACAUCGUUGAAGGGCAUCCUUCGAUGAUCAAAGGAGUAAUCCGCUAUGAGAUGGGCCCGCGGCGCAUUAGCUAGUUGGUGAGGUAACGGCUCACCAAGGCGACGAUGCGUAGCCGACCGGAGAGGGUGAUCGGCCACAUUGGGACUGAGACACGGCCCAGACUCCUACGGGAGGCAGCAGUGGGGAAUAUUGCACAAUGGGGGAAACCCUGAUGCAGCAACGCCGCGUGAGUGAUGACGGCCUUCGGGUUGUAAAGCUCUGUCUUUGGGGACGAUAAUGACGGUACCCAAGGAGGAAGUCACGGCUAACUACGUGCCAGCCGCCGCCGUAA
rnacentral:rRNA from 1 species